rnacentral:rRNA from 1 species
UACGGAAGGGGCUAGCGUUGUUCGGAAUCACUGGGCGUAAAGCGCGCGUAGGCGGCUUGGCAAGCGCGGCGUGAAAGUCCUGGGCUCAACCUGGGGACGGCGCUGCGGACUGCUUGGCUGGAGUCCGGAAGAGGGUGGUGGAAUUCCGAGUGUAGAGGUGAAAUUCGUAGAUAUUGGAAAGAACACCGAUGGCGAAGGCACUUUACUGGGCUAUUACUAACACUCAGAGACGAAAGCUAGGGUAGCAAAUGGG